rnacentral:rRNA from 1 species
AUACGGGAGGCAGCAGUGGGGAAUCUUGCACAAUGGGGGAAACCCUGAUGCAGCGACGCCGCGUGAGCGAUGAAGCCCUUCGGGGUGUAAAGCUCUUUCGGCAGGGACGAAAACCGACGGUACCUGCAGAAGCAGCUGCGGCUAACUACGUGCCAGCAGCCGCGGUAAUACGUAGGCAGCAAGCGUUGUUCGGAGUUACUGGGCGUAAAGGGUGCGUAGGCGGCCUCUUAAGUUUGGUGUGAAAUCUCCCGGCUCAACUGGGAGGGUGCGCCGGAAACUGAGAGGCUAGAGUGUGGGAGAGGAGAGUGGAAUUCCUGGUGUAGCGGUGAAAUGCGUAGAUAUCAGGAGGAACACCGGUGGUGCAAACGGCUCUCUGGACCACUACUGACGCUGAGGCACGAAAGCGUGGGGAGCAAACAGGAUUAGAUACCCCGGU